GGUGAGGUGGCCGAGAGGCUGAAGGCGCUCCCCUGCUAAGGGAGUAUACAGUUUGUAGCUGUAUCGAGGGUUCGAAUCCCUCCCUCACCGCCA
rnacentral:tRNA from 3 species